rnacentral:misc_RNA from 1 species
AAGUCGUAACAAGGUUUCCGUAGGUGAACCUGCGGAAGGAUCAUUACCGAGUGCGGGCCCUCGCGGCCCAACCUCCCACCCUUGUCUCUCUACACCUGUUGCUUUGGCGGGCCCACUGGGGCUCCCUGGUCGCCGGGGGACACCCGUCCCCGGGCCCGCGCCCGCCGAAGCGCUUCGUGAACCCUGAUGAAGAAGGGCUGUCUGAGUACUAUGAAAAUUGUCAAAACUUUCAACAAUGGAUCUCUUGGUUCCG